AAUACUGGUAAAACUUAUCCAUUUCAUAACCGUUACACUUCCCACUAUGCAACGGUUUUGUACUGCAGGAAAGUUGUAGCUGCCCAGGUACGCUUCCCAAAUGUCAGCUGUCAUAUAAACAAACAUAAACAAAGCACAGACGGAACACGAAUUUCAGUGUUUUACGCACUUUUGCAUUGAAUUAAUCGCAAUGAUUAGCGGGAAAUCGCCUAAAACCCACUCAUCAACAUCAAGCAAUGAAAAACCCGUUCAUUACACCACAACAGAUUCCAACGAAGCGUACCGAAGGGGUGUACGAUUGCUACACGAGAAAUGCAAAGCACUACAGCGAAGUAAUGAAAGGCUUGUAUUUAGGCUUCACCGUGUACAAAAAAUGACCAGAACCCGUGCUAGGGAUGUAGUAAUUCUGCAAACAAAAUUAGAUUCCGUCGGCGAUGGCUGGAGUACAGCAAUGGAUCCGGUAGAUGUGAAGGAAGAAGGGGAGGAGUGAGCAUCUCAACAACGCUGAAUGGUUUGUAAUUGUAAAAUCUUGCCCGCCGUUCAGGGAUCCACAUGAAAAAAGGCCUUUUUAGUAAUGUACCGAAUGGUCGAAAAACGGAAGACCUAAUUCAACUGAUACACGACAAAUUAACAUCAAUAUCUUCAUAUUGUUGUUUAAAACUGCGUGUUACAGCGUAAAGUGCUAGUGCUAAGACGCACUGCUAGUAUUAAUUGGUAAUGUGUCCGCUACGUGCCUCGAGUACAUGGAUUUUUCUUUUGUUAAGCCAAGUGUAGCGCGUUUAGUCCUCUACUUCUGGGCAUAAAGACUAAAUAGGUUAUAGCCUACUAUAAUUAUUUUGCUCGCAGCCGGACAGUUAGUCCUUGCUACGGAAAUACGAUCCGGAUGUGAUGUGAAACCGGGUUACUUCCGACCAGUGGCGGAUUUACUCGUCUAAGCAGGAAAACAAACAGAGCCGUCGUGAAAUGCUUGGAUUGAAAAAAUAGCUCUGGUUUUAUACACUUGCGUGCACGGUGCCCACCGUUACCGCUUAGUUCACUUACCGUUAAAUACGCCACCGCUUCCACAUACACCACAGUGUGCGUCCAGCCCUUCCUUUAAUGUUUUGAUAAUAAGCGAUUCUUUGACAAUUUUUGAUGUGACUUUCUUAAGCUUACUCCAAGCCUAACAAUAAACAUCGUAUGUAAUAUGAAAUCGCAGAGUUGUUUUUCGGUCUGAGGAAUCUUAUAGCGUACCUAGACAUAAUUCUUUGGACUCUGAUUGAUGAGACAACUUUGGAUAACACAUCCAGAUAGGUUAACAAAUCCUCGCUGUAAUAGAUAUAAAACGGCACUUUCAAUUGAAA